UACAGAGGUCUCAAGCGUUGUUCGGAUUCAUUGGGCGUAAAGGGUGCGUAGGCGGCGCGGUAAGUCGGUUGUGAAAUCUCGGAGCUUAACUCCGAAACUGCAUUCGAUACUGCGGUGCUUGAGGACUGGAGAGGAGACUGAAAUUCAUGGUGUAGCAGUGAAAUGCGUAGAGAUCAUGAGGAAGACCAGUGGCGAAGGCGGGUCUCUGGACAGUUCCUGACACUGAGACACGAAGGCCAGGGGAGCAAACGGG
rnacentral:rRNA from 1 species